CGGGGUCNUGNUGGGACCGCGANNNCGGUGGCCGACCGGCCGUCGGACGGUAGUUCUGACGAAACGCGCACGCGUUUAUANACGCGUCCGGCCCGACGCAAGUNCAACGUCGUAUNCUUGCGUACNCGCCUAAGCGCGGCCGUNAAGUGCGGCGCGUCUGUNUGUUGCANGCCGUGNCAGUCUCGGACUGUGCGCGUCUCUGUCUGCGAUGAUUCAGUUUCGGGCACUCGCAGGACCCGUCUUGAAACACGGACCAAGGAGUCUAGCAUGUGUGCGAGUCAUUGAGAUAANNUAAAACUGAAAGGCGCAACGAAAGUGAAGGCGCGCGCUCGCCGCGCGCUCAGGGAGGAUGGAGCGUCGAUCUAGGUCGAUCUUUCGCACUCCCGAGG
rnacentral:rRNA from 1 species